AAUCUUACCUGGCAGGGGAGAUACCAUGGUAAUGAAGGUGGUUUCCUCAAGGUGAGACUUACCCAUAGCACUCCAGAUGUGCUGACCCCUGAGAUUUUCCCCAAAUGCAGAAAACUCGAUUGCAUAAUUUGUGGUAGUGAAGAAUUGCAUUCGUGCUCUCCUCU
rnacentral:snRNA from 1 species